CUGCGAGUUAGUGAUGCGUGGCGAGGUUAACCCGUGGUGGGGGAGUCGUAGCGAAAGCGAGUCCGAUAAGGGCGUGAGUCGCGUGUUCUAGACCCGAAGCGGUGUGAUCUAUCCAUGGCCAGGAUGAAGCGUCGGUAAGACGUCGUGGAGGUCCGAACCCACUUCAGUUAAAAAUGGAGGGGAUGAGCUGUGGAUAGGGGUGAAAGGCCAAUCAAACUUGGAAAUAGCUGGUUCUCCGCGAAAUCUAUUUAGGUAGAGCGUC
rnacentral:rRNA from 1 species